AUUGAACGCUGGCGGCAGGCCUAACACAUGCAAGUCGAGCGGAUGAGUGGAGCUUGCUCCAUGAUUCAGCGGCGGACGGGUGAGUAAUGCCUAGGAAUCUGCCUGGUAGUGGGGGACAACGUUUCGAAAGGAACGCUAAUACCGCAUACGUCCUACGGGAGAAAGCAGGGGACCUUCGGGCCUUGCGCUAUCAGAUGAGCCUAGGUCGGAUUAGCUAGUAGGUGAGGUAAUGGCUCACCUAGGCGACGAUCCGUAACUGGUCUGAGAGGAUGAUCAGUCACACUGGAACUGAGACACGGUCCAGACUCCUACGGGAGGCAGCAGUGGGGAAUAUUGGACAAUGGGCGAAAGCCUGAUCCAGCCAUGCCGCGUGUGUGAAGAAGGUCUUCGGAUUGUAAAGCACUUUAAGUUGGGUAGGAAGGGCAGUAAGUUAAUACCUUGCUGUUUUGACGUUACCAACAGAAUAAGCACCGGCUAACUUCGU
rnacentral:rRNA from 1 species